rnacentral:rRNA from 1 species
CAGCCGCCACGGUAAUACGAAGGGGGCUAGCGUUGCUCGGAAUUACUGGGCGUAAAGGGAGCGUAGGCGGAUCGUUUAGUCAGGGGUGAAAUCCCGGGGCUCAACCUCGGAACUGCCUUUGAUACUGGCGAUCUUGAGUAUGGGAGAGGUGUGUGGAACUCCGAGUGUAGAGGUGAAAUUCGUAGAUAUUCGGAAGAACACCAGUGGCGAAGGCGACACACUGGCCCAUUACUGACGCUGAGGCUCGAAAGCGUGGGGAGCAAACAGGAUUAGAUACCCGAGUAGUCCCUGUCUCUUAUAC